AUGAACGCUGGAGGCGUGGCUAAGGCAUGCAAGUCGAACGCAACCUUUGGUGUAGCAAUACAUUAGAGAGUUGAGUGGCAAACGGGAGCGUAACACAUUGGUAAUCUACCUUUUUCUCGCGAACAACUCAUGGAAACGUGAGCUAAUACGCGAUACGGAUGAGGGGACGCAAGUCAUUCUCAUUGAAAGAUUUAUCGGAAAAAGAGGAACCUAUGGUCCAUCAGCUAGUUGGCGGGGUAACGGCCCACCAAGGCUAUGACGGAUACCAGGCGCGAGAGCGUGACCUGGCUCAAUGGGACUGAGACACUGCCCAUACACCUACGGGUGGCUGCAGUCGCGAAUAUUCCACAAUGGACGAAAGUCUGAUGGAGCGACGCCUCGUGUCGAAAGAAGGCCUUCGGGUCGUAAACGACUUUUAUUAGGGACGAAUCCUGACGGUACCUAAUGAAUAAGUGGUUGCUAACUCUGU
rnacentral:rRNA from 1 species